rnacentral:rRNA from 1 species
AGAGUUUGAUCAUGGCUCAGAUUGAACGCUGGCGGCAGGCCUAACACAUGCAAGUCGAGCGGAAACGAGAAUAGCUUGCUAUUCGGCGUCGAGCGGCGGACGGGUGAGUAAUGCUUGGGAAUAUGCCUUAUGGUGGGGGACAACAGUUGGAAACGACUGCUAAUACCGCAUAAUGUCUACGGACCAAAGGGGGGAUCUUCGGACCUCUCGCCAUUUGAUUAGCCCAAGUGAGAUUAGCUAGUUGGUAAGGUAAUGGCUUACCAAGGCGACGAUCUCUAGCUGGUUUGAGAGGAUGAUCAGCCACACUGGGACUGAGACACGGCCCAGACUCCUACGGGAGGCAGCAGUGGGGAAUAUUGCACAAUGGGGGGAACCCUGAUGCAGCCAUGCCGCGUGUGUGAAGAAGGCCUUCGGGUUGUAAAGCACUUUCAGCGAGGAGGAAAGGUUGAUGGUUAAUAGCCAUUAGCUGUGACGUUACUCGCAGAAGAAGCACCGGCUAACUUCGUGCCAGCAGCCGCGGUAAUACGAGGGGUGCAAGCGUUAAUCGGAAUUACUGGGCGUAAAGCGUACGCAGGCGGUUUGUUAAGCAAGAUGUGAAAGCCCUGGGCUCAACCUAGGAACAGCAUUUUGAACUGGCAAACUAGAGUCCUGUAGAGGGGGGUAGAAUUUCA